rnacentral:rRNA from 1 species
CUUGCUGGCAUGCUGACGAGCGGCGGACGGGUGAGUAAUGCAUAGGAAUCUGCCCGAUAGUGGGGGAUAACCUGGGGAAACCCAGGCUAAUACCGCAUACGUCCUACGGGAGAAAGGGGGCUCCGGCUCCCGCUAUGGGAUGAGCCUAUGUCGGAUUAGCUAGUUGGUGAGGUAACGGCUCACCAAGGCCACGAUCCGUAGCUGGUCUGAGAGGAUGAUCAGCCACAUCGGGACUGAGACACGGCCCGAACUCCUACGGGAGGCAGCAGUGGGGAAUAUUGGACAAUGGGGGCAACCCUGAUCCAGCCAUGCCGCGUGUGUGAAGAAGGCCCUCGGGUUGUAAAGCACUUUCAGCGAGGAAGAACGCCUGGCGGUUAAUACCCGCUAGGAAAGACAUCACUCGCAGAAGAAGCACCGGCUAACUCCGUGCCAGCAGCCGCGGUAAUACGGAGGGUGCAAGCGUUAAUCGGAAUUACUGGGCGUAAAGCGCGCGUAGGUGGCUUGAUAAGCCGGUUGUGAAAGCCCCGGGCUCAACCUGGGAACGG